UUAUCUCUCUUGUCUGUUGCCGCCAAAUUGCUCCUUUGUUUUGUUAUUCUUGCAGGAAUUUUCUUUCUGUAGGCCACCCACGGUCCUUUUACCACACUCAGACAUUCACAUUUGUCUCUCAGCCAUUUGGAGAGUUACAAUAAACGGAUUAAGGAGGUUAUACUAUCCGUUUUGUCCUUUGUUCCAUUGGAAGGCGGAAUAAAUAGUGCUUGAUAUCAAAGAUCAGGACACAGGAUUUUGAAAAUUCAACUUUUUCAAUUAUUUCCCAUGGCCAGGAAAUUUCUUUUUUCAUACAUAUUACUGAAGGUGAAAUUUGCCAGUUUCCUCGCAUUUUUGGUUUAUUUGCACAGCUUUGAAUUUGAAUUUGGCUGAAAUGGCAAAUGAUAAUUUAAUAAAGCAUAUAUCUUCAG